rnacentral:rRNA from 1 species
UACGGGGGGGGCAAGCGUUGUUCGGAAUUACUGGGCGUAAAGGGCUCGUAGGUGGCCAACUAAGUCGACAGUGAAAUCCCUCGGCUUAACCGGGGAACUGCGUCUGAUACUGGAUGGCUUGAGUUUGGGAGAGGGACGCGGAAUUCCAGGUGUAGCGGUGAAAUGCGUAGAUAUCUGGAGGAAUACCGGUGGCGAAGGCGGCAUCCUGGACCGAGAUUGACGCUGAGGAGCGAAAGCUAGGGGAGCAAACGGGG